rnacentral:rRNA from 1 species
AUUGAACGCUGGCGGCAGGCCUAACACAUGCAAGUCGAGCGAGCGGCGGACGGUUGAGUAAUGUUUGGGGACUGCCCGAUAGAGGGGGAUAACUACUGGAAACGGUGGCUAAUACCGCAUACUAUCGGAUAACCCAUAUGGGAUUAGCUAGUAGGUGGGUGAAAGCCUCACCUAGGCGACGAUCUCUAGCUGGUCGGAGAGGAUGAUCAGCCACACUGGGACUGAGACAAGGCCCAGACUCCGACGGAGGAAGCAGUGGGGAAUAUUGCAAAAUGGGCGCAAGCCUGAUGCAGACAUGCCGAGUGUAUGAAGAAGGCUUUAGGGUUGUAAAGUACUUUCAGCGGGGAGGCGGUACCCGAAGAAGAAGCAACGGCUAACUCCGUGCCAGCAGCCGCGGUAAUAC